AACUAGGUCUUUGAUGAGCUAGCAUGCAUUUCCGCAUGGGCAUCUCCCUCCCCACCUGUUUAACUAAGUUCAUGUUAUCUUUUCCAGACUCCAAUCAAAGGAAAGAUGCAGAAAAUGAUGAUGAUGAAGACGACUGGAAGGGAAACAAUCAGGGAAGUAGCAUGAGAGGUAUGCAGGAAAGAUUCGCAUGGAACACUCAUUUGAGCAAGAUAGUACCAGUAACUUUUAUUAUCCGAGAAUCAUGGGGUUACAUUAUUAGAUAACCUCGAUCUCGGACCUUCAGCACGAUUGGCCUGUUGGGAGGUAGAAGUUAGAGGAUUACACAUCCUCGACCUCAGACCUUCAGCACUAUUAGCCUAUUGGAAGGUAGAUGUUAGAGGAUUACACAUCCUCGACCUCGGACCUUCAGUAUGAUUGGCCUGUUGGGUAAAAGUUAGAAGAUUACACAUCCUCGACCUCGGACCUUCAACACGAAUUAUCUGUUUGGAGGUAAAGGUUACAUAAUUAUAUAUCCCCGAUCUCGGACCUUCAGCGAGAUUAUUUUAUUGUGAGGCUGAAGUUAAUCGGUUAUACAUUCUCAAUCACAGACCUAUGCUGUAGCUAAUCUCAACUAUAAAGUAAAGACCAGAUGAUUAGAAAAGAUCAAUAAAUCAGUCAAUCACUUUCCUCUUAUGAUGUAUCACAACAGUCAAAUAAAUUAUCAUGAAGAACUUUUAAAUUGAAAACCCAAUGCAUCACCUAGAAACACUAAGCAAAGGAUCUUUAAAUUGUAAUUGUUAUCCUUUUGCGUGCUCCAUUUUAUUUUCAGAUGGAACAUUGUUUUCCAAUGAGAUAUGAAUUAUCAUUAUAAAGCCACGCAAUUUGUUUCAGUGGCUCAA